rnacentral:rRNA from 1 species
UAAGGUUAUAUAUGGAAUACUGGAAUAUUAAUAGUUAUGUUCUUUAAAUUUAAAGAAGUUGGCGGUAAUUUAGUCUUUUUAGAGGAAUCUGUUCUUAGUCGAUAAACCACGAAGGAUCUUACUUGAGUAUUUAAAGCUUGUAUACCGUCAUUAUUAGAUGAUUUUGAUAAAAUUAAUUGUUGAUUUUAAUUUCUUGAUUAAAAAAAUUAGAUCAAGGUGCAGCAAUAAGCAAGUAAAAAUGGAUUACAAUAAAUAUUUAUUUAUAUGGAUUAAUUUAUGUAAAGGAGUUAUGAAAGAGGAUUUAAUUGUAUUACGGGUUUAAUAAGACUGUAAGAUAUAGGCUCUAAAUUAUGUACAUAUCGCC